rnacentral:rRNA from 1 species
GAUGAACGCUGGCGGCGUGCCUAAUACAUGCAAGUCGAGCGAACAGACGAGGAGCUUGCUCCUCUGACGUUAGCGGCGGACGGGUGAGUAACACGUGGAUAACCUACCUAUAAGACUGGGAUAACUUCGGGAAACCGGAGCUAAUACCGGAUAAUAUAUUGAACCGCAUGGUUCAAUAGUGAAAGACGGUUUUGCUGUCACUUAUAGAUGGAUCCGCGCCGCAUUAGCUAGUUGGUAAGGUAACGGCUUACCAAGGCAACGAUGCGUAGCCGACCUGAGAGGGGGAUCGGCCACACUGGAACUGAGACGCGGUCCAGACACCUACGGGAGGCAGCAGUAGGGAAUCUUCCGCAAUGGGCGAAAGCCUGACGGAGCAACGCCGCGUGAGUGAUGAAGGUCUUCGGAUCGUAAAACGCUGUUAUUAGUGAAGAACAAAUGUGUAAGUAACUAUGCGCGUCUUGACGGUACCUAAUCAGAAAGCCACGGCUAACUACGU